rnacentral:misc_RNA from 1 species
GCUUUGCUCUGCAACGACUUAAUCAGGUAGUCACUUGUCCAACAUGAACUCGAACAAAAAUGUCCCAACAUUGCUAGCCAAUGUUGAGCAAUCCAAAAUAAAAGAUGAGCAAUAGAUACACUUUUGGCAUGAGUCUAAGACCCAAACUGCUUGCCUUCAAAGGUCUGACCAAAAUUCCAAUUCUUGGGAGCUACAUUGUAAGAUGUUAAGGUGGCCCCAUCACCACUAGUCAUCUCAAAAGAAAGCGGCUGAUUCUUUAAGUCAGCAUUAAUGUGCCAGUUUUGGCCCCAGUUCCUACCCAUAGGAAGCCAGCCUGUUCUUGAACCCUUAACUUUUGCUGCCACUAUAUCACCCGAACCUGCAACAUUACUGAUUAGAACUGACAAGAAUAUACCAGAGCCACCAAGAGUGAAUCGAACUCCACCUUCCUUUCUGCACUUUAUCCUGCGGUAUUGAAUGGGCAUAUUAGAAGCUUUCCAAAUGGCAAUCUUCUCAAAAGCCUCAAUGGGUAGCACAAAA